rnacentral:rRNA from 2 species
GGAGGAAAAGAAACUAACAAGGAUUCCCCUAGUAACUGCGAGUGAAGCGGGAAAAGCUCAAAUUUAAAAUCUGGUAGUCUUUGGCUGCCCGAGUUGUAAUCUAGAGAAGCAUUAUCCGCGCUGGACCGUGUACAAGUGUCCUGGAAUGGACUAUCAUAGAGGGUGAGAAUCCCGUCUUUGACACGGACUCCCAGGGCUUUGUGAUGUGCUCUCAAAGAGUCGAGUUGUUUGGGAAUGCAGCUCUAAAUGGGUGGUAAAUUCCAUCUAAAGCUAAAUAUUGGCGAGAGACCGAUAGCGAACAAGUACCGUGAGGGAAAGAUGAAAAGAACUUUGGAAAGAGAGUUAAACAGUACGUGAAAUUGCUGAAAGGGAAACGCUUGAAGUCAGUCGCGUUGGCUGGGGAUCAACCUUGCUUCUUGCUUGGCUUACUUCCCAGUUGACGGGUCAGCAUCAGUUUUGACCAGUGGAUAAAGGUUAAGGGAAUGUGGCACCUCCGGGUGUGUUAUAGCCCUUGGUCAUAUACAUUGGUUGGGACUGA